rnacentral:lncRNA from 1 species
CUUACGGCUAGACUUGGGCCAGGUGGCUUGUGUUGACGGUUCUUAAGUAUUAAUUUUAAUUAUCAAAUAAACAAGAGAAAGGACCAAUAUGCAACCAACACCUAGAAUUAGGGUUUGAUCUGACAGGAUUCCACGAGUUUUGUUGUUUAUCUGUUUCUGCAGGGGGUUAUCAGGAAAUAAGGAAGAAAGGCCCACAUGUCGGGAUUACAUAG